AAACGUAAAAUAUCCUGAGGCAGGAGUUUGAAAAAAAGGCUCACAGAAGCUCAUGUUAAGACAUUUUCAUGUUAGCAGUAACUUUUGUCGAAUAGGUAAAUUUCUGUUAAGCUUUAAAUCAAUAGUAGUAAAAUUACAAUAUGAAUACUAAUAUGGUAGUUAUCAUUUCUGUAGGACUAUGUGCCUUUUGUUUUAUGUAAAAAGUCUGUGUGCUAAAUGUCAGACACAGAUCAAUUUUUAAGUAAGCUCUAUGCCCAACAUGGGGCUUGAAUCCAUGAACCCCAAGAUCAGGAGUUGUAUGCUCUACUGACUGAACCAGCCAGGAGCCUCAGGCCCUCCAUUUUAAUCAAAAAUUUUCGAUUACAUCAAGCAGAUCAUAUGUAAAUAGAAAUCCAGCUUAAAGUAUCAAAAGACUGGUGAUGGAAAGCCCAUCUAGUGGAAGCAGCAUAGUGGGAUCAGCCAGCCCUGUGCAUCAGUCUGGCUUUGCCAAUUACUGUGUGACCUUGGGCAAGAGACUUCAUCUGUUUGGGCCUCAGUGUUCUCAUCUACAAAAGAGGCACAUUACCGACCCCAUAGAAAUGUCACGAAGAUUAAGUAAAAUAAGACCGUGCCUCAGACAGGUUGUAGGUGCCUCCCAGACACUGCUUUCCUCCUCGUUCCAGACUGCCGGUUAUUAUGGGCUCAAUUGUGUCCCCCACCAAAUUCAUGUUGAUGUCCUAACCCCCAGUACCUCAGGAUGUGACUGUGUUUGAAGAUAGGGCCUCUAAAGAGGUAACUAAGUGAAAAUGUGGUCAUUAGGAUUAGGGUGGGCCCUAAUCCAGUACUGACUGGUGUCCUUCUAAGAUUAGGACAAAACACACAGAGGGAAGACCAUGUGAAGACACAGGAAGGAAAGAGAUCAGGAGGCCUCAGAAGAAACCAACCCUGCCAACAACUUGAUUUUGGACUUUUCGCCUCCAGAACCAAGAAACUAUAUUUCUGUUGCUUAAACCACCCAGUCCAUAGCAUCUGUCACGGCAGCCCGUGCAAGCCAAUAUCCCAGUCAUGGCCGGAGGUGACUGGAGUCCCCUAAUCGAAGGUUGCCGUGGAAGUCCUACUUCGUGCGCCACAACAAAAAAGGAAGGUGAGAAGCACCAAGAUACAGACCUAACACACUUGGCUUCACUCCUGGCCUACAGUAAAGACUCACGGAUCAAACCAGAACUCUUCCAGAAGAUACUUUUAUGGCUGAGACAGGCUCUCAAGUUAGAAACAGCAAUCUCUAUGCCCAACGUGGAGCUUGAACUCAUGACCCAGAGAUCAA